AUGCCAGUAAGCGCGGGGAAGCGGGCAGCCGGUCACUUCUCAGCAGCGAACACCUGCGAGGGCCGUGGGGUCCCCGGAGGGCCUUCGGGGCCACGGGAAGGCGCCGGCCGGCCCUGGGCCACCUUCUCCACGGCCGCCUUCCCGUUUGCACUAUCGUGGUCCCCACGGGGCGGAGGACGAGCCCGUGAGCAGCAGGACUGUGAGGCCGUGGGUCGCCGCGGGCCCCUGGCUGGGCAUGGGAAAGACCCCCGAGACGCGGCUCUAGCCCAGGCAGGGCACCCAGGGGGUCCCAGCUCUGCGGAUGGGAUGAAGCUGCCCUACCAGGGCCCCCCAAGGGUUCGUGCCCGGCUGCGAGGACCAGUCGGCUCGCAGGGAGCGGGUUCUGACCCCGACUCUGCCGUGGGAGGCGGCUGUGCUGUGGCGCGGCCUGUGCGGGUACCAAACCCCACCUGCGCCCCGAGGGGCGCCCCGGACUGGAUCCCGGCAGGUGCAGGACGGUGGCCCCGCGGGCGAAGCGGGGCCCUGGGUGCUGAGGCGCCGUCGGGCAGCGCACACCCGCUGGGCAUGGGGCGCCUGGGGGGUGGGGGGUGCAGGUCCUGGGCGGGGCCGCAUCGGCCAGCUCCGCCGGGGCGAGAACCGGGGCCGCAGCUGCUCCCCAUCAGGCAGCGCCCGCCACCUCUCGCCGCCGCCCCUGCUCCCCACGGGCUCCAGCUGCAGGCCUGCGGGGGCGGGGCUGGGCUCCAGCUGCGGCUAAGGGGGGGGUGGGCUCCCUGGGGGAUGCAGCUGGGCCUGGCCGGGGACCACCGCCACCCCCCACCCCCGCGGCUUCCGGGAGCCCCUGCCAGGCAUGCAGGGGCCAGAAGGUGGGGACGGCUCAGCGGCCUGAGUAGCCCUGUCCCUCCCUGGUCCUUGGUGUCGGGCUGGACCACCCUGUGCAGGCCACAGCCCCACGUCCCCGCCAGAUGUGCUCCCUGCCCGAGGCCCUGGGGCUCCGUGCACAGCUGGGGGCUCCCGCAUGAAGGGUUCCCCUGGAGCUGGGUUGCGCGGGGGCCCCAAGUCCCCCACUGCGUGGGCCCUGCCGAAGGCCUGGGCGGCCCCCUGGACGGGGCGGGUCCCCUGCGGGACAGAACGUCCUCAGGAGCCGCCCUGCAGACCCUAUGGGCGGAGGGUCAGAGGGAACCGGGCGCUCCGGGGAAACGGCCCUCGGCUGCAGGGUCACCAUUGGGGUGCACGGCGGGUCAGUGCAGGCGCCCCGGCUGCCGGCAAAGGACAGACAGGGAGGACACGGCUGUAGAGGGAGCAUUUCUCUAA
rnacentral:lncRNA from 1 species